AACGAACGCUGGCGGCAGGCCUAACACAUGCCAGUCGAGCGCGCCCUUCGGGGUGAGCGGCGGACGGGUGAGUAACGCGUGGGAACGUGCCCUUUUCUACGGAAUAGCCUCGGGAAACUGAGAGUAAUACCGUAUACGCCCUUUGGGGGAAAGAUUUAUCGGAGAAGGAUCGGCCCGCGUUGGAUUAGGUAGUUGGUGGGGUAAUGGCCUACCAAGCCGACGAUCCAUAGCUGGUUUGAGAGGAUGAUCAGCCACACUGGGACUGAGACACGGCCCAGACUCCUACGGGAGGCAGCAGUGGGGAAUCUUAGACAAUGGGGGCAACCCUGAUCUAGCCAUGCCGCGUGAGUGAUGAAGGCCUUAGGGUUGUAAAGCUCUUUCAGCUGGGAAGAUAAUGACGGUACCAGCAGAAGAAGCCCCGGCUAACUCCGUG
rnacentral:rRNA from 1 species